UACAGAGGGUGCGAACGUUGCUCGGAAUUACUGGGCGUAAAGCGCGUGCAGGCGGGACGAUAAGUCGGAAGUGAAAUCCCCGGGCUCAACCCGGGAACUGCUUUCGAAACUGCCGUCCUCGAGUACCGGAGAGGGUGGCGGAAUUCCUGGUGUAGAGGUGAAAUUCGUAGAUAUCAGGAGGAACACCGGUGGCGAAGGCGGCCACCUGGACGGUCACUGACGCUGAGACGCGAAAGCGUGGGGAGCAAACAGG
rnacentral:rRNA from 1 species